UCAAAUUGUGAAACUGUAAGUAAUAGCUUCACCUGAAUAUUGAUCUGUUGUGUUAUUGCAGGGAAGAGGUAUGAAAUUCUCAACUUAGGAAGGAACAUACAACCUGUAAUGUGUCGAUCACUAACUAAUAAACAGGAGUCUGAUGUUGGAAAGAAGCAACUGGUACCAAAGCAAAAGCAUCACGACUCCCCUUACAAAUCAAUGAAGUGUUCUAAUUCUAAUUCUGGCGAUCUAAGCACCGGUCCAAGUGGCUCUCCCUCGGCUAUGCCUGGAUGUUCGAGCUGUCAGUGUGGUACAGGAGCAGCAGCCACCACCGCUGCCAAGUAGCUCCAGCAAUCACGUGCUCACUCUUGCUUCACAGACUAUGUAUGGUCAGUUCAGAAAAUUGGAGGUUUUAGGAUCUUUGGAAGUUUUUUGAGGCAUCACCCUUCUUGUCCGCAGUUAAAAGGUGUGUGUGUGAGUCUGAGAAAAAUACUUUUGCUUUACUUAUGUUUCAACUUUGGCAAGGCAUGUUUGUACAGGUAGUAAAAAUGUGAUGCAAAUGUUUCUUUUACUAAUUUGUGGAUUUUGAUAGUAGAAUGUUGUUUUGGGCUGGUGCUAAGGAUCAUUCAGUUUCAAGGAAAAAGAUAUAUGUGUGGUUUCUUUGCUUUACAGAAGAUGCAUUAUAUGAUGUUUUCAUUUUGGUAACCAUAAGAAAUUUUACAUUUGAUGGUGAAUUUCAAAAUUAUUUUGUUUGGAUUCUGAAUCAUGCUAGGCAAUGUCGUCUUUGUAAUAAUUUAAAAGGGGUGCUAGGCAG